GUCCAGGGUAGCCUAGUGGACAUGGCAUCUGCCCGGUGCGCGGGACAUUGUGGGUUCGAUUCCAUCCCUGGACA
rnacentral:tRNA from 1 species